CCUACGGGUGGCUGCAGUGGGGAAUAUUGGGCAAUGGGCACAAGCCUGACCCAGCAAUGCCGCGUGAAGGAAGAAGGCUUUCGGGUUGUAAACUUCUUUUGUCAGGGAAGAGUAGAAGACGGUACCUGACGAAUAAGCCACGGCUAACUACGGGCCAGCAGCCGGGGUAAUACGGAGGUGGCAAGCGUUGUACGGAUUUACUGGGAGGAAAGGGCGUGCAGUCGGGUUGACAAGUCAGAUGUGAAAUCCUGCGGCUUAACCGGGGAACUGCAUUUGAGACUGGUGAUCUUGAGUACUGGAGAGGCAGGCAGAAUUCCUGGUGUAGCGGUGAAAUGCGUAGAUAUUAGGAGGAACACCGGUGGCGAAGGCGGUCUCCUGGAC
rnacentral:rRNA from 1 species